rnacentral:tRNA from 1 species
GGAGAGAUGGCCGAGCGGUUUAAGGCGCACGCCUGGAAAGUGUGUAUGCGGGAGACUGCAUCGCGGGUUCGAAUCCCGCUCUCUCCGCCA